AGUGANGAUGGUAGAAGCCCAUCGCUGAAUCGUAUUGUUCGAAAGAGUGAUACGAAAUGUAGCGUGAAGCUGGCGGCUGUUGCUGUUGUCGAUUGCGUGUAANUCUCCCUGAGCGGGGCUCACUCCCAGAGAUGGUGCUAGGCCCGUAUCGCGCGUGACAAGUACAGCAACGCCCGCUUGCGGAGAGUCGGAUUGCUUGGGAACGCAAUCUAAGGCCGGUGGUACACUCCAUCGAAGGCUAAAUACGGCAACGAGUCCGAUAGCGAACAAGUACCGNGAGGGAAAAUUGAAAAGCACUUUGAANANAGAGCGAANUACUGCGUGANACCGCUUUGAGGCAAGCAGAUGGGCCCUCGAAGGUGUGCAUAGGAUUUAUUUCCUAGUUCGCACGCCACCGCCGUUGCCGAUUUUACGCCACGCGCCGACGUUUGGACGCUCGAGAUUGGGACUUGUGCCUGCUCGGGACGCUCGGCGUUGAACGUGUUGAGUGUUGCGGUAAGGGGUAACGGAGCAGGGCAUUGUUCGUCGCUGUAAAGCGCCGGCUGUGAUCGCUUGCUGGUACAUUUUUGUUGCNNCGAAACGCA
rnacentral:rRNA from 1 species